rnacentral:rRNA from 1 species
AACGAAACGCUGGCGGCGCGUUUUUAAGCAUGCAAGUCGAGCGGUAAAGGUCCUUCGGACCCCACGAGCGGCGGACGGGUGAGUAACACGUGGAUAAUCUGCCUCUCAGUCCGGGAUAGCACAUGGAAACAUGUGAUAAUACCGGAUACGAUGUGCCUGUCACAUGGCGGGUGCAGGAAAAGGUCCUGCGGGAUCGCUGGGAGAUGAGUCCGCGGCCCAUUAGCUUGUUGGCGGGGUAAAGGCCCACCAAGGCGACGAUGGGUAGCCGGCCUGAGAGGGUGGACGGCCACAUUGGGGCUGAGACACGGCCCAGACUCCUACGGGAGGCAGCAGCUAAGAAUCUUCCACAAUGGACGAAAAGUCUGAUGGAGCGACGCCGCGUGAACGAUGAAAGGCCGUAAGGUUGUAAAAGUUCUUUUUGGAAGGAAGAAUAAGGCGGGCAGGGAAUGGCCUGCCGAUGACGUGAAUUCCAGAAUAAAAGCCCCGGCUAACUACGUGCCAGCCGCCGCAGU